rnacentral:rRNA from 1 species
ACGGUGCUGAAGUGAUUAAUACCAAGCUUCCAGGAAAAGCCACUAAGCUUCAGUCUAGAGUCGACCGUACCGCAAACCGACACAGGUGGGCAGGAUGAAAAUUCUAAGGCGCUUGAGAGAACUCAGGAGAAGGAACUCGGCAAAUUGACACCGUAACUUCGGGAGAAGGUGUGCCCCGGUAGGUUGUAGAGCCUCGCGCUCGAAGGCCGAUGGGGUUGCAGUGAAAUGGUGGCUGCGACUGUUUAAUAAAAACACAGCACUCUGCAAACACGAAAGUGGACGUAUAGGGUGUGGCGCCUGCCCGGUGCUGGAAGAUUAAAUGAUGGGGUGCAAGCUCUCGAUUGAAGUCCCAGUAAACGGCGGCCGUAACGAUAACGGUCCUAAGGUAGCGAAAUUCCUUGUCGGGUAAGUUCCGACCUGCACGAAUGGCGUAACGAUGGCCACACUGUCUCCUCCUGAGACUCAGCGAAGUUGAAAUGUUUGUGAAGAUGCAAUCUCCCCGCGGCAAGACGGAAAGACCCCAUGAACCUUUACUGCAGCUUUGCAUUGGACUUUGAACCGGUUUGUGUAGGAUAGGUGGGAGACUGUGAAACCGGGACGCUAGUCUCGGUGGAGUCGUCCUUGAAAUACCACCCUGAUUUGUUUGAGGUUCUAACCUGGGCCAGUGAAUCCUGGCCGGGGACCGUGCAUGGUAGGCAGUUUGACUGGGGCGGUCUCCUCCCAAAAGGUAACGGAGGAGUACGAAGGUACGCUUAGGGCGGUCGGACAUCGCCCAUAAAGUGCAAUGGCAAAAGCGUGCUUGACUGCGAGACCCACAAGUCGAGCAGGUGCGAAAGCAGGUCAUAGUGAUCCGGUGGUUCUGUAUGGAAGGGCCAUCGCUCAACGGAUAAAAGGUACUCUGGGGAUAACAGGCUGAUACCGCCCAAGAGCUCAUAUCGACGGCGGUGUUUGGCACCUCGAUGUCGGCUCAUCUCAUCCUGGGGCUGUAGCCGGUCCCAAGGGUAUGGCUGUUCGCCAUUUAAAGAGGUACGUGAGCUGGGUUUAAAACGUCGUGAGACAGUUUGGUCCCUAUCUGCCGUGGGCGCUGGAAAUUUGAAGGGGGCUGCUCCUAGUACGAGAGGACCGGAGUGGACGAACCUCGGUGUACCGGUUAUGACGCCAGUCGUAUCGCCGGGUAGCUAUGUUCGGAAGAGAUAAACGCUGAAAGCAUCUAAGCGUGAAACUCGCCUUAAGAUAGGAUUUCCCGGAGUCUUGAACUC